AAUGAGUAGAUGUGUUUUUGUUUUUAUUUUUUAAUAUUUAGGAACAAGUGAUACUGCUCUGCAUCUCUGUAAUUUUAGUCGUGUAAUAAAGAUCUCUCCAUGUUUGGGCGGUGACAUUUCUCAUAGUUGAGUUUUAAAUGCGGAAGUUUCAACUCAAGAUUUGCUGUUGUUUAGAUUUGACUAAUUCAGUUCUGCAGGAAUGCUUUGUUGUUAAUACAUACAGUUUACUUUUCUUCCUGGAGUGCAGGGCAAUGACUGUUGUUUGAAAGUUAGUUUUUUUCAGUGAUGAAAGCCAGCAGCAAAUGGCAGUGUGCACUUCUGAUCUUUCUGUAGUUUCAUAUUACAUACCUGAAAUCAGUGUUUUUUUCAGUUUGACAGAUUACACACAGUACAAUUCUCUUUUAAGUCCAUAUAUACUCUAUAGGUGUUUUAAGAUAUUAUUUUUUUAAACUCAUACUCAUUUUAUGAUUAUUUCACAAACCAAAUGGACUCUUCUGGAAGAGGAUGCUGCCACUAGCAGCAGAUAUUUGAGUGAAACAGGAGGAGAGAGGCUGUCCCCCUUGGAAUCAGCCAUUCAAAGAUGGACUUGAAAAAACUUAGCAUGUGGUUGUGAAGUAGGUCACAGGAAAGGUUCUGGUGUCAGUUAACUUAUAAUAGCAGUGGUUAUUUAAACUGAUUGCUAGCAGAUUUUAGGGUAGUCGCAGGUAUCAGGAUUGUGACUCCCAUGUUACACAUUCACAAAUUGAGGACCAAAGGUAGAUACUGAAUUAAUUUAUGGUGCUUAUGCCAGUGUCACAGCCAUCAAUUGAACUUAAUUAAUGAUAGUGUCAGUCCUGUGCUGUCGUAUGUUACUGUUUCUUAUUCUUUCAAAUACUUUUCAUUAUGUACUCGGAAAAGAGAAACUACUUUUAAUGGUAACCUUUCGGCAUUUGCUGCAGUAUAUAGGAGUAGGAGAUACAUGUGUGCCAGGGGGAGACUGGUCAGAGUGGUUCAGAGGGCUGUGUGGGCCCAUCUAGCUUAUGUUAAACACUGCCACUGAGCUCAUGAGAAGCUUUAUACUCUGUGUUGCACAGUAGCAUGCAAUUAGCCAAUAUAAUUUAAUGUGCCCAUGUUUUCAGGUAGCUGGUGUAGAACCAGAAAGAAAUGGGUUGUUUGUACCACUGUUUGUAAAGUAUGACAUAUGUGGAACUUCUCAAAUGGUAAGAAGUGCCUAUCUUCAGAGUGGUAGCAAUAAGUUUGCUGCAAGGUUUGCAGUUUGGUCUAAAACACAAUCUAUCACUGCCAGUGAUAGAAGAACUGAAACUAAGUUGGCUAUUAAUUUCAAGUGAGUUUGGGCAUACAAGAGGGAGGAAGCAACCACUUGACAUUAAGAAGGCUCUGGUAGCUGUCUACUAUAGGGGAAUUAGCAUGGGAAGCCAUGGUAUUGGCUGUCUGUAUGUUAAUGACAUAUGGCAGUUCAUUCUGUGGAAUGCUGCAAAAAAAUGGUCAUUGUCUUUUGCCUCUGACUACAGUCCUGUGCUACAGUGUCAAGGUGAUAACAGUUUUUGACUCCUACUAUUUAUUUUCUUAGUGCUCAAGGAAGAACAGAGCUUUUUUAGUGCUUUGGGCUUGAACUUCACUGAAUGAGGCAACGGAUGCAAUGUGUCACCAACCAGCUCGCACUGUUACUGUCAUGCACUGCUGUGUCCAAAGCCUGACAGCAAACCAAGCACCUGUGGUACAAUGAAGAACUGCAGUGUUUGCUUUGGGCUGGCACUUCUUUAGUGCAGAAGUAACCUUCCAUUUUCGCAGUAGAUAUUUUUAACUUGAAAGUUGUUUUGCUGUUGCUUCAUUUUAACUUUGCAGAGAGGAGAUGCGUUGUAGGAAGGCUUGAAAAUGCCUUGGUUUGAGCUGUGAAGGUAUGACAUGUGCUGUGCUGUUCUGAGACUGAAAAAUCAGACACUCAGCUACUGGAUAGUAUCAAAGUUAACAAGUACAACGAUAACUCUGUGCCUCCUGUGUAUUUGUGAUUAUAUUUUUAGUCAUGUUGUGUGCAUUGUUUUAUUUUUUCCAGCAACACCUUUCCUUGUUUGUUGUGCAGAAUGAAAGGCAUUGAAGGUAUUUGUGUCACAAACAAGCGUGCUCUUGUUCUGCGCUGAGUCCUUUCCCCUCUCACACUGAACGCUUCAUGAGCUCUGCUGUUUGGGCUGAAAGUCUUAAUUUCUGUUCAUGGCAGUUGCUCUGAUCUCAGUGCUCCGAAUCAGUGUUUUGUUGGUAUUGGGAUGACUUUUGCAAUGUGAGGGGAGGGUAUUAUUUUUGUAAUCUCUGUGUUCCUGCCAUUUAGAAUAGUUGCUAAAGUGCAAAGUAUCCUUUGGCUGUCGUGCACUCAAAGCCAAAGCUGCAUUUUUCAUUGCCUGGUAAUGUGAAACGCUGUGUUUAAUCAGAGCUGCAUUUGAAUUUAGUCAUUAUUGUCAACAAAUAACCUCUCCUAGAUGGCAGGAUGUGUGUGUCUGUAGAACUGGAUGGAAACUUCCUUAUGUUUUUCAUUGCUUUAACUUGUCCUUUUUCAUUCUCCUGAGUUAGUCUUAACAACAGAGAACCCUUCUGUUCUGUGACUUCAUCUACAGUUGGAAUGAGCAUUAUCUUUUUGCCUGCAAAAAAAAUAAAUAAAUCAUUUAUGGGAGACCUUUAGCUCAAGAUUUCCCAGAAAUGAAAGAGAAAGUAAUUAUCUGUUUAUCUGCCCUGGCUCUGGCAGUGUACUGUGUCAGUCUCACUGGCUCUUGAGCUGUAAGCAGCAAGAUUCCUCUUGCAGCAGUCAAACUUAUCUCAAACAUCUCUUUCAGGUCCUUAAGUAGCCAUGAUGCCCAUCCGUGUGGAUCAAAUGAUGCAACUGCUUUGCCGUGUUGCUCAGGAGAAGGGAAUGACAGCAGCUGUCAAGCACUCUGGUAGAGGAGCACUCCUGGUGGGCAUAACUGCAUUUGUUGGGGGUUUGCUUGGAGGUCCGCGUGGCAUCGCUGUAGGAGGAGCUCUUGGUGGACUGCUUGGUGCCUGGAUGACCAGUGGACAGUUCAAGCCAGUCCCUCAGAUUUUAAUGGAGUUGCCUCCUGCCGAGCAGCAGAAACUCUGCAAUGAAGCCAUCGCAAUAGUCAGGAACAUAGACUGGGUUGAUGUUUUUCAGCUGACUGUACUUGUAAUGGGAAGGAGUGACCUUAAGUUUCUGCUGGCAAAAGCAGUGGAAAGGUUCUUUGUCAGAGAGCUAAAUGCACAGAUAAAGUAUGAAGAAUAAACCUUUUUGGGCCUGGUUUCUAGAUUUUCUUGAAUUUUACUUUGACAACUGUGAUUCUCUGAUGUAGCAAUUAUUUGGAUUAGGAUUGUCAUUGUAGCUUUCAUUUCUCAGCUGAUUCUGAAUAUUCUGUUUUCAUUUAAAAAAAAUCCUAAAAAGCAUCACAAUGGUCUCUGUUUUGUUUUAGAGAAAAGGAAUUGAUUGAAGAAGUGGGCACUUAGUAUCUCAGCCAAUUUUUCACUCUUUAUUUCAAGGCAAUGAGGAAACUAUUUAUUAGUUUUGACGUACAGAGUCCUUCUUGGAUGGAGGCAUGUACCUAUUUUUAGAGUGGUAGCAACAUGUUUGUGACAAGGUUUGCACACUGUUUUGAAACUGUUGAGUGCAGCCCUCUUCUAUUGUGUUAAGAUCACCACAAUUUUUGCCUUUUAGGUUUAUCAGAGGAUUUGGGCAUUAAAUAACUGUUCAGCAGAUUUGAUCGUAAAGAACUGCUCAAGAAUGCAUUAAUAUCCCUCUGUUACUCUUCUUUGGUACCGAUAUGGCUGUCUGCCACUGUAUCCCAUGGUACUGGAAACAGCUACAGGCAGGGGAGAGUAUCUAGUGAAAUCCAUCCAGUUGCAGUGUCCAGGUUAAGUAUGAGAUAGAGCCAUCGCCUAGGAAACAAGGUAAAGCAGUGCCAGCAGUUUUAGGAAGCAACUAGAAUUGUGGCUGUGGGGAGAUGUACAAACUUAUAUAAAUAAUCCAUCUGUGAUGGAUUUUAUUAUUAAUUUUGUUUGGUUGUAGAUGUGAAGAUGUGAAGAAUCAAGCUAGAUUUUCACUGGCAGGUAGUGUAUUUUUAGAUAUUUUUUUUCCUAACUGUCUGGUUUAAAAAUGGAAAGCAAACAUGAUUAUAAAUAGGUAUGUUAGCAUAGAGAGACUAUUUUUAUUUACUUGCUUUAUUAUUUAAUGGCAACCCAGAAUUCCAACAUAGAUUAGUAAUUGAGAUCUGCCAUCUAGUGGCAAGUAGAUUAAUUCUUAAAUUCAGCCUAUCAGGGCUGCCUCUGUGGAUAACACAGCUGUGUUUUUCUGUGAAAAGUUGGGGUAAAUGAAAUUGUAUUAGAUUACAAAUAUCAAUCCACCUAUAACUAGCACUCAUGUGCACUCAUUUGCAUUCCCCUGCAAAGAGGCUUUUUUAAAUGAUCAUUAUCAUAAUUGGGCUGUGACUGCACAAAUUUUUGCUGCAGCUGCAUGACAGUUUUCACUGUGGGAGAAAAUAUGUAGUCAGGAGAAGGAGGACAGUUUGUGCUUUUUGUUGUGGCAGCAUUCAGAGAUCUGCACUGCAAGGCAAGUGUUUGCUAUGAAAUCCAAAUAAGUUGCAAAGCAAUGUAGAGAUACCAAAGGCUGAUCUUGAGUUUACGGCUGGAAAUGAGAACCUCGACAGCAAUUUCAGUCUGCACACAAGGUAGAGCUAUUUUGAACCUCAAACUUGAGGUUCUGCAGGGUAUGUGCAUCCCCACAGACGAGGGUCUGGUGGCUCUUAGCUCUGAUUGUUUAGUUGCCAUGUCAGCAAUAACCUUUCACUCUGGUACGCAAAGUAACACAGAUCAGCAUCACGUUGGCAGUUUCCUAAGGACAAGUCCCUGUUCUUCCAGGAUUGCACACCUGCAGCUGUGCAGGGCUUUGCUGGUGAAGGAUAAGCACAAACCUGAGUCUCCAUCUUUCUUUCAAAUGCAACUUGUGAGCUGCUGACAGGAAGGAGUGCUGAAUAUCUGUCUGUAUAGGGCUUCUGACCUUCUGGAGGGAAAAAUAGUAGCUGCAUUUCCUCUAGAUGCAAGGUCCUUCCCUGCCUGUGCUGUAAUUACCUUCUCACUUUGAACAAAAGUGAUUUGGAGAAGAGCUGUGCUGGUUGACUUAGGGCAGCUUAAGAAAGCUGAUUAAUCUGCUAUGGCAAUAAUUUGCUGGAUGAUUUGAUCAGUAAUUCAGCUCCCCAGUGAGAUGCUUCAAGGUGAGAUGGCAGUGACAAUACCAAGCUCCUGAUGGAGGGCUGUGAGGCAUGACAAUUACCUACAGAAAAAAUGGGGUGUGAUAGUAUCAGCACUGAGUUAUUAUUUAUUAUUAUUUGACUAUUUCUUACCAUGUUUGAAAUUUCUCUAGUGGUGUGAUACCAUCUACCAUAGUCUGAUUAUAGGCCACUGUGCUCUAGCAGAACUGCAUUUCCCUUUUACAAUUUACAUUCCAGUGCUCCUUCCAUAUGUGCUUCAGUGCAUCAUGACAUGGGUGAGUUGGAAUGGCUGCUUUCUCCUACUCCUGAUAACACCCAUCUCUUUGUUAAGGAGGAAAGCUCAUGCUCCAGAGGACUCAGGUGUGCUAGGUUAGCUCUUCUUUGGAAGAGACAUUCUAUUAAAUACACGUAAUAUAAAAAGCUACUGAGUUUGUAUUUCAGAUAACAGCUAUUUGGUGACUAAACAUUAUGACUGUCUAGGUGAUGAUGGUUAAUAUGUCUUUUCUCCUUUUUAGUUGGUGUAUAGGAAAUCUGUUACGAAACUCAGAGAAAGAUCUUGUGGAAGGGAAUGGUGAUUGUAUUAUUCAAAGUCACUAAGCAAAUUGAUUUUAGACAGUCAUACUCUCAUGACAAAUCUGUUCAAAUGAUCUGACUGGGAUUGCUUGCAUUUAACAUGAAGGAUAAGUCAAAUCCUCACUUCAUCUCUUGGAUUCUUCUUUAUUGCCCAAAAAUGAAUUAUUUUUUUAAAAUCCCUUAGAAUAUCUUUGACAGUAAUUCGCUGUUGUCUUUCUGUAAGCUUUUCUGCAACCCGUUAGCCUGAGGGGCUAACAGCAGAAGGAAUGGCAUGUGUGAUUUGCUAUAACCCCUGCUAUUGUCCUUGUGUCAGAAUGCAGUGUAUCCUGUGAACAAGAUGCUUGUGCUGUGGUCUUAUCAGAGAAGGGUCUUCUGUUGGGCUCAGUAGGAACAGCACAUUCCUCAACUUGAUGAAAUGGGAUCCCUCAUUAUCAGUGUAGGCUUCUUUUUUUAUUACUAUUUUGGUGCAUUCACGUACCUAUUUCCAGCCAUACAUAAUGUAUACCAAUUUAAAUAAUUUAGUCAAAAAUUAUGCCAUUUCAUGUAGAAUUUUUUUUCUUUCCAUUUUUUGUACUGCAGCAGAUUCAAUAGCAAUAACUAGUGAAAUAUGGGCAGAUCUGUGGGGUUUAUGCUACACAGAUGCAGGGUAGGACCCACUAAAUUCUGUCUGUACUAGCAGGAUAGAAGCAACAGUACAGCCAGAUGGUGACUACUGGUAAUAUAAAAGCAAUGCAUUUUUGCCCCAGAGUAAAAGAUCUUAUGGAGAAAGCAAUAGCUUCUUAGGCUGUCAUUGCUUGGCCAGUUGAUGUAAAUUACUCAAGACUAAUUGAAUAGCAGACCUUCAUCAGAGUUGGAAAGCUUUAAAAAAAAAAAAAAAAAAUCUUCCUAUUGCAGUGAACUAAAGCUAUUAGCCCCUAAUUAACACAUGGGGUUUCAUCUUUACCUUUCUAGAGAUCACAGAAAUCUAUGUAUUUUUCAGGCUGCAAGCCAGAAAUCAAACAUUCAUUACAUAAUUGCAGUAAGUCUGAGCUAAUACUUCUCAUUAAGUAUGAUUUAUGAAUUCCAAAAGAGCCUAAGAGAUAAAUACAUAAAAAUUACUCUGAAGUCUGCAAAAAUGAAAGCAUUCAUUUCUUUGGAUGAUUGUGCAGCAAGAAUGAUUUAGGCAAACACGAACAUUUGGUAAGGACAUGGCAUUUAAAUAUCUGUACUUUUGUGAUGCUCUCAAAGUGGUGUGAUUUCAUCUAAUUUUGCUGCUGAUCUUUCAGCAAAGAUGAUGUUCUAUCCAGAGAAUCAACCAGUGCAGGCAGAAUCAGUCUCCCACGGAUCAACAUUCCCUUGGAGCUGCAGGAGAUGGGCAUCUGCCAUGAUGCAGUUUGUGAGCCAGUGGAUAAACCUAGUUUGGUUUUAGAAUUACAGGUUAAUUUUAAGCCCACCAGUAACAGAUUUUCCAAAGCCAUAAACUGAAGACUUGCUCCCUAUAGAGCUGUGAAGAAAAGAUGCAACAGCUGAAUGUGGUAGUUGGGCUUAGGACAGAUGGCGUGCAAGAGCAAAUGCUCCAGGUCUCCUCCCCAUCUCCCACGUGGAAGAGGAGCUGCAGUCCUCAUGGGCUCCCUGCAUGGCUCGUGAAUUUCCCAGAUGAUUCUCCAGAGUGGGUGCGUGCUGGAUUGGGCAUUGUGAGUCUCCACGUUUC